ensembl:snRNA U6 U6 spliceosomal RNA
GUUCUCACUUGGGCAGCACAUAUGUUAAAGAUCGGGAUGACACAGAGAAGAUUAACAUGACAUGUUAAUCUGUGCAAGGAUGACAUGCAAAUUUGUGAAGCAUUCCAUAUUUUU